UGCUGGCUGAACUGGUAUGGUCGGUGUGCUGCAGCAAUAGUUGCAGUGCAUGUUCGUAAGCGAAGUCCGGUGAGAUUCCGGCACUGUCCCGCAACGGUAAUGCGACUCCCGAUAGUUAUCGGCGCGUCGUAAGUCCGGUCGCCUAACGAGCGUGACCCAU
rnacentral:ncRNA from 1 species